GUUAUCUUGUGGAAUUGUAAUUGAAAUAGUGAGAGGAGAUUGUUGUAUUGUUCUUCUGAAUAUUAAUAGAGAACUUAAUUCCACUUUUAUAUCCAGGUUAAUUUCAUCCUUUAGUUCCUUAAUCUAUGACUUUGCCAUGUUCUACACUUAGUGUCUAAUUGAGUCCAUGGCCUACGGUAGACCCAGCCACAGUCUGGUUCCAACCCAGAACCAGAUUGACCAAAAUUGACCUUGAACUGACAAAAACCAGCAGGUUCAGUUUGGUCCAACUUCGGGCCAAAGCAGAUUUUUUUUCUCUUUAAAAAAA
rnacentral:misc_RNA from 1 species